CAAACACACUCACACAAAGCCACACGAACACAGCUGAAUGCGAUAAAAUUUAAUCAAAACAAAAAAAAAAUGUAAAAAAGAAGAAGAACUACCAAGAAUUUUUUAGGAACGAAUAAUGAAACAAUGGACCAACAUAUCAAAUGCAAUAAUUUAUUGAAUUGUAUAGGAGAAAAAGAUUUAAAAAUAAAACAAAA